UACGUAGGGUGCAAGCGUUGUCCGGAAUUAUUGGGCGUAAAGGGCUCGUAGGCGGUCCGUCACGUCGGGAGUGAAAACUUGGGGCUUAACCCCAAGCCUGCUUCCGAUACGGGCGGACUAGAGGUAGGCAGGGGAGAACGGAAUUCCUGGUGUAGCGGUGAAAUGCGCAGAUAUCAGGAGGAACACCGGUGGCGAAGGCGGUUCUCUGGGAAUGUACUGACGCUGAGGAGCGAAAGUGUGGGGAGCGAACAGG
rnacentral:rRNA from 1 species